CCACUGCUGAGGAGUCCCAUACCAGGACGAAACGGCCGUCCAGUGC
rfam:Schistosoma curassoni strain Dakar, Senegal genome assembly, scaffold: SCTD_scaffold0005326